UAGCUCAGUGGUGUAGAGCAGUUGCCUGGAAAACGAAAGACUCGGGUUCGAUUCCCGA
rnacentral:tRNA from 1 species